rnacentral:rRNA from 1 species
UACGUAGGGUGCAAGCGUUAAUCGGAAUUACUGGGCGUGAAAGGGCGCGUAGGCGGCCACCGCAAGUCGACUGUGAAAUCUCCGGGCUUAACCCGGAAAGGUCAGCCGAUACUGCGGGGCUAGAGUGCAGAAGGGGCAACUGGAAUUCUCGGUGUAGCGGUGAAAUGCGUAGAUAUCGAGAGGAACACCUGCGGCGAAGGCGGGUUGCUGGGCUGACACUGACGCUGAGGCGCGAAAGCGUGGGGAGCAAACAGG